rnacentral:rRNA from 1 species
AGCGUAGACGGUAAAGCAAGUCUGAAGUGAAAGCCCGCGGCUCAACUGCGGGACUGCUUUGGAAACUGUUUAACUGGAGUGUCGGAGAGGUAAGUGGAAUUCCUAGUGUAGCGGUGAAAUGCGUAGAUAUUAGGAGGAACACCAGUGGCGAAGGCGACUUACUGGACGAUAACUGACGUUGAGGCUCGAAAGCGUGGGGAGGCAAAACA